rnacentral:rRNA from 1 species
GAUCAUGGCUCAGGAUGAACGCUGGCGGCGUGCCUAAUACAUGCAAGUCGAACGAAGAGAAAUAGCUAAGCUUGCUUAGCAAUGGAUCUUAGUGGCGAACGGGUGAGUAAUACAUAAAUAACCUGCCUCGACGUCUGGGAUAACAGUUGGAAACGACUGCUAAUACCGGAUAAGUUACCUGAAGGCAUCUUCAGAAAACAAAAGAUGGGAUACAUCGCAUCGAGAUGGAUUUA